rnacentral:rRNA from 1 species
UUUUUUUUUUUGAAACCGUACACCUGCAGGCAUACGUUACUUGUAUUUAUACGAGUCGGAAAACAGUACAUACAAACGUAGAUACCAGACGUACAAAUACGAAAAUACAGGAAGGAUACAAGCCGUAGAGCUGGCCCCGCCAUACAUCGCAGAAGACCCCAAACAAAGAAAAUUUGCAACCCCAUCCUUGGUCUUCUCCGCCGAUGCCGCUCCGUCGCGUCGAAGCCAACCACCACCGCUGGAGGCCGGAAAUAACACGAAGGAGCGGCUCACAUAGAGCUGAAGGAACCCCUUGCACAUUGGCGUUGGUGAGCCGCAGUAGACACCAGAUGCAAAGAACUGGAUUCGAUCCUAAUUUUUCCAUCGGCCGGAGGCAACGGCCAUGUCGGCCGUGCUCCCCAAGCUCCUUCACCUCCAGGCCUGGGGACGACGCCACUCUGCCUCCCUGAAGACAGCCAGGCCCUUCCACCGCGAGCCAGAUCCGAUGCCAGCCGUGGACUCCAUCCAUCCCAAGCAGGGCACCGUCAGCACUGCUCCCAGCCGUACCUCCGGUCGAUCCCUGCAGCAAAACACACAUAGUCCUCACACGCUCCUCGGCGCCGCACAGAAGCACGUCACCGGAGCAGGGUUGGAGCAGGAGGAACCAAACACCCACAAGCUUCUCGCCGGAAGUAGGACUCCCAACGAAACGCGGUCGAAGCCGGGGCACCUUUAUUCCGACGCGGCGCCGUCGCCGGCGUCUCAACGACGCCUCCUGGAACCUAUCUACAGGCCCGUGCUUCCCCGAGGCUCCCCCCACCUGCCGAGGCCAAGCCGGCCAUCGGAGGCGAGGAGGAGCGGCGAGGUCGCCGACGGAAAGACAGGAGAUCUCGGGCUACUUCUGUUCGCCUCUCGCGUUCUGUGGAGAGUUCAGCUUUGUUGUUUUAUUCCUACAUAUUCAGGAAUUUUGUAGGUACC